rnacentral:lncRNA from 1 species
UGGGGAGGAAAGAGAGUAUUUUUUUUCUAAUUUUUUUUAGAAGGAAGAGUAAAAUGAUUUUUUUGAAACUUUUUAACUAAUAUAGGGAGCUAAAACGGCAUCGUUUUGACCCAGCUCCAAAAUGCCCAAAACGGCGUCGUUUUGACCUGAAUCGGCCGACCCAACCCGAACCACCUAGGAUCAGCGUGUUUCUGGAUAAAAAGG